rnacentral:rRNA from 1 species
GACGAACGCUGGCGGCGUGCUUAACACAUGCAAGUCGAACGGAAAGGCCCUGCUAUUGUGGGGUGCUCGAGUGGCGAACGGGUGAGUAACACGUGAGUAACCUGCCCUUGACUUUGGUAUAACUUCAGGAAACUGGGGCUAAUACCGGAUAGGAGCUCCUGCUGCCUGGUGGGGGUUGGAAAGUUUCGGCGGUUGGGGAUGGACUCGCGGCUUAUCAGCUUGUUGGUGGGGUAGUGGCUUACCAAGGCUUUGACGGGUAGCCGGCCUGAGAGGGUGACCGGCCACAUUGGGACUGAGAUACGGCCCAGACUCCUACGGGAGGCAGCAGUGGGGAAUAUUGCACAAUGGGCGGAAGCCUGAUGCAGCAACGCCGCGUGCGGGAUGACGGCCUUCGGGUUGUAAACCGCUUUCGCCUGUGACGAAGCGUGACUGACGGUAAUGGGUAAAGAAGCACCGGCUAACUACGUG